UGGAAAAGGAAUUACAAAUUUAGUAGCCAAAACAAAUUAGGUUGCAAGCACUUUUAUGGAAUUGUACCAAUUGCUGAUGAAAGUUUUAAAGAAUCCUGCCUCCUUUUUCAGAGUUCUCAGGGCAAUUUAUUCAUACCUUUAUUGUUAUUAUUAUUAUUGUUAUAACAUUUUAUUUAUUUUUUGAGAGAGAGAGAGAGCAAGUGGGGGAGGGGCAGAAGGAGAGGGAGAGAGACUCUGAAGCAGACUCUGCACUGAGCAAGAGCCCAACUCAGGGCCUCAUCUCACAACUCUGAGAUCAUGACCUGAGCUGAAAUCAGGGUUGGCUGCUUAACUGACUAAGGCACCCGUACUUUUAUUAUUGAUCUUACUUUGCCCUAGGAGAAUGUGUCUGUUUGCAUAUCUAACCUCUCACCAGACCUGGAUCACCAUCUGUGUUGGAACAUUCCAGAGCACACAUCUCCUCCCCACCUCCAGCAUACAGUUUUCUUUCUGGGUUCACAGUUAGAGAGCAUGUUCAAGCAACACUGGGGCCAGACAAGCUUAUUUGACUGGAAUGUUUGGAGAAAGUGCUGUUGAUGAAGGAAUCAUAGCAAAGUGGGGGCAGAUGGAUUCCACUAACCAGCCGCGUAACCCCUUGGGCAAGGUAUUGUACCUCUCGGAGUGUCAGUUUCCCUUAUCUGCAAAUUGGAGCUGA
rnacentral:lncRNA from 1 species